rnacentral:rRNA from 1 species
CACGUAGGGGGCAAGCGUUGUCCGGAUUUAUUGGGCGUAAAGAGCUCGUAGGCGGUUCGGUAAGUCAGGUGUGAAACCUCCAGGCUCAACCUGGAGACGCCACCUGAUACUGCUGUGACUCGAGUCCGGUAGGGGAGCGUGGAAUUCCUGGUGUAGCGGUGGAAUGCGCAGAGUAUCAGGAGGAACACCGGUGGCGAAGGCGGGUCUCUGGGCAGUGAACUGACGCUGAGGAGCGAAAGCGUGGGGAGCGAACAGG